rnacentral:rRNA from 1 species
CCGACGGUGAGGGGCGAAAGCUGGGGGAGCAAACCGGAUUAGAUACCCGGGUAGUCCCAGCUGUAAACGAUGCGCGUUAGGUGUGUCAGUGACCACGUGUCACUGAUGUGCCGAAGGGAAACCGUGAAACGCGCCGCCUGGGGAGUACGGUCGCAAGGCUGAAACUUAAAGGAAUUGGCGGGGGAGCACCACAACGAGUGGAGCCUGCGGUUUAAUCGGACUCAACGCCGGAAAUCUCACCGGAUAA